UAUAUUUUAGUGUAAGAAGCACAAUAAUUUUUGAUUUUAUUAGGUAUAGUUUAAUUCUAUAAAAUAUAA
rnacentral:tRNA from 1 species